rnacentral:lncRNA from 1 species
GGGGGAGAAAGAGAGAGUGGAAUAGACAGAGCAAGAGGGCUGAUUUUCUUGAGGUUAACAUCAGCAGCUGUCAUCUCUUCAUCACGGGAACAAAGUCACCUUGGCCUGGCUGGCCGGCACGCAGUGGACAGGUGACAGGAAGGUGCUGCGGGAGGCUGCAGGAGGACCUGAGCCCUAGGACCAUGCCUCAGGACUACCUGAGAUGGUGUCGCAACUUGAUCUCAUCUAUACAGAGGAGGAGAGGAGGAGAGGAGAUCAGAGGAGGAGAGGAGAUCAGAGGAGGAGAGGAGAUCAGAGGAGGAGAGGAGGAGAGGAG